rnacentral:ncRNA from 1 species
GCGUAACAUUCGCCCGAUUUUUUAAUGAGAAGGACACACACUUUGGACAGUCAUAGUCGAUACCGAAUAUCGCUUUAGACUCCCGCCCAAUGCCAAACGGCUAUCGGCGAGAGUUCGU